rnacentral:tRNA from 1 species
GGGCCGUUAGCUCAAAAGGCAGAGCGGCUGACUCUUAAUCAGUAGGUUGCGGGUUCGAUUCCUGCACGGCCCACCA